UGGACUCCAUCAACUAUCAGCUGUAAACAACUAGCUGUGUCGCUCCUCUCCAACUAGGCAGAAGUAGGCUUCCUAAAAGAGUUUCCUUUAUUCAGGAGCAAUUGAAAGCCCAAUUUUGAGCAUGAAUACAAACAACACCUCGCCUUUGGACAUCGAUUCAGAAACCGCCAAAAAGCUUUUCGAGCAUGGCGCUGUUCUUGUCAUUACUGGUGUGCCCAGGAAGACAGAGUUCGGCAUUGAUUUGUGCUCGUACACAACGGAUGAAAAUUUCCGUGGUGUAAAAAUGAUACCGCCAGGUCCUCACCACAUUUGGUGUGCAGCCACUGGACCAUAUGGAGACACUGCACCUCGUGUGGGGUUUGCCCACUAUUUCGGCGAGCAAGAGAUAUUGGUAAAAGAGUGGGAUGCUAAUAAUGAGGAACUGAGAGAUCGUUAUGUGGAAGAUGCUGAAUUGGAAAUACAGCGGAUCAAGGCAAACCUAAAGUCGUUGGAUAAAUAUUUGGCACCAUAUGAUUUUCGUUACUGGAAUGAUUGGAGUAAACUAACAGACACAGUUACCAAAGGCACCUUAGAAAGAUGUCAACCGUCGUUGGGAGUUAUUCGAACCAAUGCAGAGUUACAAUCAUGUCCCGACUCCGAAAGGCCUAGGGGACCUUUAAGUCAAACGCGUCCUCCCCUGACAGCCAAAUCAAUAAUAGAUGAGAGUUGCCUGCUGCCCAAUCUAAAGCCAGUUGAAGGUACUGCUCCGCGAUUUUGUUCUGUUCCCAACCGGGUGCCCAAAGAAUGUACACCUGCCGAGGUUUCAAAACAUUCAUUGGAUUGCAUAGAUGCAUGUGAUAGAUUACUUAAGAAUUUUGCCCAAGCUCAAGAUCUUGUUGAGGAAAUACAGUUGGCAUUUGCAUUUUUCCUUGUUGGCUAUUCCAUAGAAUCAUUGGAAUAUUGGCGAAAGGUCUUAACAAUACUCUCUCAUUCGCAAGAUUCGGUUACAAAAUACAAAUUACUGUAUAUGAAAUAUGCCGAAGUAUUGGCAUUGCAAUUACCGCAUCUGCCAGAGGAACUAAUGGAACCCUCAGAACACAAUAGUAUCUAUAAGGAUAUUCGUUCUUUGCUUGUAAAUUUAAAUGUAUGUGGAUUGCACAAAAGUGCUGAACAUUUAACGAAAAAACUUAGGGUCGGUAUGAAUUGGUCAUUUGAAGGUCUUUUGGAUGAAGAUCCCGAAGAUAUGCCCGUUGUGGUUGAAUGUAAUUAGUAACCUUUCUAAUUAAUAUCCUCCCUCAACCACUUCAGAUUGUUUUGCAAAAAAAACCCUUCAGUAGCAGUAAAUUUGUCACCACAAAAUCCCCAACACAAUAGUCAGAUUAUCACCACUGCGAUUAUCACCGCGGCGAUUAGUGCUGUCAUCAACAACGAGAAUUGGACAUUUUUAUAUCGCGGUUUAAUUGCAUAAUGAAAUCUUGGUGGAUGGAGUGGGCGAAAACGUUUAGUGACCUUUAAAUCAUGCAUAUUAAUGGAAUGAGCGUCAAA